ACUGUUCUUGACCCAAACAAUGCCUUGGUGGCACCCAACUAAGGUUUUAAGACUGAAAGCAAGAGGAAAAGAGGAAGGGAGUUGUUUCCAGAUAAAUAUCGGUUAAUGGGUCAUAAUGACGCAUAAUGACAGACGUGAGCUUCCUUCUAAACACAAGGAAAGACAGGAACAAACAAACUAUGGCCACAAUCUUGAUGACUGAGGUCCACCAUCCAGUGAGACUUCGAGCAGGCAAUAAAAGUGAGAGAAGAACUUGAGAGUCUGCUCACAUUUCUGCAUCCACAGUCCAGAGAAAGGCGCAGAAGGAGCCUUGAACUUUCAUUUACAAAGAAAGUGUAGAGACAAAUUAACUGCAUUGAUGAAUCCAAGGGGCCUCCACCAGACCGCAUCUCCUGACAGCUAAGCUCCCCAUUCCCUGGAGUAAAAGAAUUGUCCAUACAAGAAAAAGCAGCGAUGACAACAACCAUGGAAACCCUAAAUCCUUCAGCGCUAGCAGACAUCACCUCCACUGUCUCUUUCAAAAGUCACCCCGAGGCAGUGAACCUGCCGAGUGGCGUUGUCUCGGUGGCGGGCAUCACUGUAGUAACCGGAGGCGUGGAACUGUCCUGUGGAUCCUGCAUGCUGGCCUUUGGCUUUUGGGGAACCCUCAUUGGACUCAGCUGUAUAGCUGUGGGUCUGUGGGACCUCCUCAAUCAUUCCAAGGAGGGAACAUCUCACCUGCUGAAUUUGGGACUUGUGGUUCUGGCUCUCAGCUUUGCAGUGGUUGCAGGUGUUGUGGUGUUUUACCUUCUGACAAGACAGAAGAGAGAAACUAAACGAGAAGAGAGGGAGGAUGGGAAACAAGUUCUUAUGGAGAACGAGCGAGUCAUUAAAAAAGUGACAGUAUAAAGCUAGUGACGGCAGAAUUUCAGGAGAAUUUAACAGGAACAUUGCACAAAACAUGAAACAGAAACUCUUGCUCUUUCCCCAUUUGUUUUAAAGUCCCACUCCAAUCAUCUUUUGAGCUAUUGUAAAAUCCUUCCCUAUCUUUCAACCAAAAUUAUUUUAUUUUUAGCCAAAGUCUAAAAACCUGUAGUUUUUCAGGACAAAGUUUCUGCAGGGCAGCAGAAGUUUAUUAGAAAUUCUCCUCUGAGUUGUGGGUGGAACCAUUGGAAUGGAGAAAACCCACAUCCCAUCAUCCAUCUGUAUACGUGCUUUCCCAGUAGCUGGAGCAGAGCAGGGAAUUUGUGGCUUACCAUUGUAGCUUCACAUCACUGCCACAAGCUUUUUCCAACUGCAUUGUCUGCUCCACAUGGAUUUGAACAAAGAAAUACUCAGAAAUACAAUUUUAAACUUAAUUUUCUUAGUCCUCCAUCAUGAGAAAAAUGCAAAAUUUUUCAUUAGGAGUGGGUUUUUAAAUAUAUUUAAUUAAUUUGCUCUUGCUGUGGCUUAAAACCUUUGUUUAUUAUACAGUAGUUACUAUUCUUUUACAUGAAAUACUCUACUGUUGUAAAUUUACUUUAUUAUUUUCUUUAAAAUUGUUUAAGAUUUACACACAAACUGAUGUGAUUAGUCCACAUUGUAUAAUAAACCAUAGAACUUUUUGUUGUAAUCUACAAUCAUUGUAACACUUUUUAAAAUGUUCUUUUGACAUUAAUUAGUAAUUAAGUAAUGUUAAUUGAAUUGAUUAUUAAAUGGUGCCCGAAACCCCAUGGUUAUAGAAUACUGUGUGUCAGUAAAACAUUUGUGCUUCUACUAAAUAAGUGAAGAGGGAUUUUUUUAUGUAUGCAUCCGAUUUAAAUUGUGCAAUAAAUUAUCAGUUACUCUAAAACACCAACAUCAUUUUAUUUGUUUAUUUUUUUUAUGAAGGCAUCCUGCAGGACCCUUUAUACACAGAAUGAAUGUUUUGUGUGUGCAACAAAAUGUCAAGAAUAAACGUUUCGAACAGCAA